rnacentral:rRNA from 1 species
UGAGCAAUCUGCCCUUCACAUCGGAAUAACCAUUGGAAACGAUGGCUAAUACCGAAUAUGACUUCGGAUCGCAUGAUCUGAAGUGGAAAGCUCCGGCGGUGAAGGAUGAGCUCGCGGCCUAUCAGCUAGUUGGUGUGGGUAAUGGCCCACAAGGCGACGACGGGUAGCCGGCCUGAGAGGGUGACCGGCCACACGUGGGACUGAGACACGGCCCAGAUCCGUAACGGGG